AUUGAACGCUGGCGGCAGGCCUAACACAUGCAAGUCGAACGCGUGGCGGGCGGGUGAAUAAUGUCUGGGACACUGCCUGAUGGAGGGGGAUAACUACGAAACACUGUAGCUUAUACCGCAUACCCUCAUGAGUGCACAGAUGGGAUUAGCUUGUUGGUGGGGUAACGGCUCAUCAAGGCGACUACCCCUAGCGGGUCUGAGAGGAUGACCAGCCACACUGGAACGGAGACACGGUCCAGACUCCUACGUGAGGCAGCAGUGGGGAAUAUUGCACAAUGGGCGCAAGCCUGAUGCAGCCAUGCCGCGUGUAUGAAGAAGGCCUUCGGGUUGUAAAGUACUUUCAGCGGGGAGGCGUUACCGGCAGAAGAAGCACCGGCUAACUCCGUGCCAGCAGCCGCGGUAAUAC
rnacentral:rRNA from 1 species